AAUUCUUUACUCUGAAAAAUGCGCCUGUUGCGUGUCAGGGUGCGCGUUAUAAAGGCCGCCCUGCAGUGAAACAGUCUCUGGAUGUCCGGUGACGUGCCCGCCGCUCCGCCGUCUGCUCUGGAGGUUGUCAGCUUCGUCGGUAAAACAGUUGGCGCAGGCGCGGCACUGACAGCUGCUGUCUACUUACUCCGCAAAGUCUGCUUAAUAAUGGCCUGGAAAUCUGGAGGAGCUAGCCACGCAGAGCUCGUCAACAACCUCCGCAAAAAUGGCAUUAUUAAAUCCGACAAGGUCUAUGAAGUCAUGCUGGCCACAGACCGAGCCCACUUCUCUAGGUGUAAUCCUUACAUGGACUCUCCGCAGUCAAUAGGAUAUCAAGCAACCAUCAGCGCCCCACACAUGCAUGCGUACGCCCUGGAGCUCCUACACGACCAGCUGUACGAUGGUGCCAAAGCCCUGGACGUUGGCUCCGGCAGUGGGAUCCUGUCCGUCUGCUUUGCACGAAUGGUAGGUCCUAAAGGGAAAGUUAUAGGAAUUGAUCACAUCAAAGAGCUGGUAGACGAUUCUAUAAACAAUGUGAAGAAAGACGACCCCAGUUUGAUAACAUCGGGCCGAGUCAAGCUAAUAGUGGGAGACGGGCGGAUGGGCUUUACGGAGGAGGCGCCUUACGAUGCCAUCCAUGUUGGUGCAGCAGCACCCACUGUCCCCCAAGCUCUCCUGGACCAGUUGAAGCCUGGCGGCCGGCUGAUUCUCCCUGUCGGCCCAGCGGGAGGAAACCAGAUGCUGGAGCAGUACGACAAGAUGGAGGAUGGCAGCACCAAAAUGAAGCCCUUGAUGGGGGUGAUUUAUGUGCCUUUAACAGACAAAGACAAGCAGUGGUCCAGGUGGAAGUGACUUCCUUCUCCCCCCCUCCUCCCUCCCUAUCUCCUUCUCACAGUGGCAAAGGGAUGAACUCUGAAGAGGAAGACCGUCCAUAAUCCACCUUUAAGUUUAAGAAGCGGAGAAACUUUGGAUUUGGGAGGGAGGUCGAAAACAGCGCUUGACAUUUUGUUCAAAGCAUAACAAAAACAUCCUUUUUUUGUUUUAAAGUCUAAUGAUGGACUAUAGAGUAUCACAUUGAUGACAGCCCAGAAAGGCUGGGAAGAAAGACUGCUUGAAGCUCAGCGCAGAAAUAUUUGGAGAUGGCGUUUUGAUUUUCUUUUCAGGCCUGCAUCUUUUUUUUUUUUCUUCUUUUUUUGAGUUAUGUUUUCUUUUUAACUGCUGGAUUUUAGUUUUUAGUUGUUUUUUUGUGGUUUCAUCAUUUGAAUUGCAAUCAGCCAUUUUUUAUCACAUUACAUUUCAGCAGCAUUGUAAGCUGAAUGUAAGAGGGACGCCGGACAAGGACGAGGAAAGCCUGAGACUUUUAGAUAAUUCACCCUAGCUACAAUGUGUGUGUGUGUGUGUGGGUCAUCUAACUGUAGACUAACACAUGAGCUUUCUCCCCCGCCUAGCAGUAUUAGGAAAACACACACACACACACACACACACACACACACACAUAUGCGCAGGCAACACAAUGGCUGAUGUAACCCACACAUCCUGUUUGAUGUGCAGCACUCUUUAGGUCAUUCACAUAGAAAAAGCAACGCAUUCAGAUCACACUGAGCAUCGACUCCAAAGAGAGCGGAGCACUAACAACACCCGACACACGUGCACACAAUUAUUAGGGGCUGUGCUUUUCCACUUGGUGACGUGUUGCUUUUCUGCCGCUGGUUUUCCAUUAACAAUUUGUGCAGGCUCUUCUGGUGACUGAUAACUAAAUGGGAUAGUCACUGCUUUGCCAAAAUAAACUCCAACAAUAUAAAGCAAAUGAAUGUCUGUUUUCUUGGGGGAAAAAACCUACAUGAAAUCAAAAAAAGCACAUUUUAUUUUGGGUGUUUUAUUUAAGUGAUGGAUGAUAUUUGGCUUUCACAGUUUAUGGAAUGGCAUAUGAAAAUAAAGAGAUGCUUAUGUUUU